CCUGGUUUUCCAUUCCGGGGCCCUUUCCUGCUUUCUAGCUUGCUUGCUCUGACUGGCUGUGAGCUACCCUGGGGCAGGAAACAGAGGGAGGCCCUCUGGCCAACCCAGUGAGGAACUGAAACCCUCAGUCCAACAGCUCAAGAGGAACUGAGUCCGGCCUCCCAGAUGCGUGAGCCUCCAGAUGAGACUCCAGUCCUGGCUGACAUCUUAACUGCAACCUCCUGAGACACCAUGAGUCAGAGGCUGCAAGGUGAGGCAGGCCCAGAUUCCUGACCAAAAGGAUCUGUGAGUUUUCAAUUUUGCGUUUAAAAAUGUGGUACCUUGACUUUGGCGGACAGCCUUCCUGCUUAUGGUGAUUGAGGGCUCCUGACGUCUGUGGUGGAUGCUGCAAUCCCUGGACAAACUCCUUUUGACUGCCACUGAAGCAGCACUCGUGCCCAUCCUGAGAAUGGACAGGACAAUUGGUUUAGAAGGAGGGAGCAGAAACCCCAGACAUCAGCCUGGACUAGGGAAUCUGGGAUAAUCUUCUACUCCUUGGAAAGUUCUAAAAUCCGGGUGAGAGCCUGUGGUAGGAGGCUCCAAGUCUCUAAGAAGGAGAACACAGACUGCUGCUCCUUACCUGGGUAGAGGGUGAAUGACUUAGAAAUGCUGGAAUCAGGCCUCCAAGGAUGUUCUCAGGCAAAGAACAAGGGCUUGAGAGACAAACUCGUGGUUCACAAGACAGCUGCCGGUGUCAAAGGGAACCGCUGAUCAGUCGUUUCAGGGAUCGUCUCCCCCUCCAUUGCGAGAGACUGUGUUCCUUAACAGUCCUUUAAGGAAACCAACGUUAAAAAUUAUAUUGUAUUAUUUGGUUUAUGUAGCAGUCUCGAAAAGACAGAACCGUAGUGGUGGAGAACAGAUUAGUGGUUGCCAGGAGUUGGAGUGGGGGGGAGGAUGUGAAUACAAAAGGGAAGCCUGAGAGAGU